AGAAUAACAGACCAUGUUAAAACAGGUGGUGAGCAUGUUAAAACAGGUGCUGACCAUGCAGGUGCUGACCAUGUUAAACAGGUGGUGACCAUGUUAAACAGGUGGUGACCAUGUUAAAACAGGUGGUGACCAUGUUAAAACAGGUGGUGACCAUGUUAAAACAGGUGGUGACCAUGUUAAAACAGGUGGUGACCAUGUUAAAACAGGUGGUGACCAUGUUAAAACAGGUGGUGACCAUGUUAAAACAGGUGGUGACCAUGUUAAAACAGGUGGUGACCAUGUUAAAACAGGUGGUGGCCAUGUUAAAACAGGUGGUGACCAUGUUAAAACAGGUGGUGGCCAUGUUAAAACAGGUGGUGACCAUGUUAAAACAGGUGGUGACCAUGUUAAAACAGGUGGUGACCAUGUUAAAACAGGUGGUGACCAUGUAAAAACAGGUGGUGACCAUGUUAAAACAGGUGGUGACCAUGUUAAAAACAGGUGGUGACCAUGUUAAAACAGGUGGUGACCAUGUUAAAACAGGUGGUGACCAUGCAGGUGCUGACCAUGUUAAACACGUGGUGACCAUGUAAAAACAGGUGGUGACCAUGUUAAAACAGGUGGUGACCAUGUUAAAACAGGUGGUGACCAUGUUAAAACAGGUGGUGACCAUGUUAAAACAGGUGGUGACCAUGUUAAAACAGGUGGUGACCAUGUUAAAACAGGUGGUGACCAUGUUAAAACAGGUGGUGACCAUGUUAAAACAGGUGGUGACCAUGUUAAAACAGGUGGUGACCAUGUUAAAACAGGUGGUGACCAUGUUAAAACAGGUGGUGACCAUGUUAAAACAGGUGGUGACCAUGUUAAAACAGGUGGUAACCAUGUUAAAACAGGUGGUGACCAUGUUAAAACAGGUGGUGACCAUGUUAAAACAGGUGGUGACCAUGUUAAAACAGGUGGUGACCAUGUUAAAACAGGUGGUGACCAUGUUAAAACAGGUGGUGACCAUGUUAAAACAGGUGGUGACCAUGUUAAAACAGGUGGUAACCAUGUUAAAACAGGUGGUGACCAUGUUAAAACAGGUGGUGACCAUGUUAAAACAGGUGGUGACCAUGUUAAAACAGGUGGUAACCAUGUUAAAACAGGUGGUGACCAUGUUAAAACAGGUGGUGACCAUGUUAAAACAGGUGGUAACCAUGUUAAAACAGGUGUUGACCAUGUAAAAACAGGUGGUGACCAUGUUAAAACAGGUGGUGACCAUGCUGAAACAGAUACUGAUGUUUGAUGAUGUCAUAUUCUG